AGCGGUAUGUGCUUUCGAACAACAUCAUGAACAGGAGCUUUGGACAAAAAAGGUUAUCUUUUCACUUGAAGAUCCCAUGUGGCCAAGAACGAGUCUUUGGUCUUUAGGGUGGAUUUGGCCACUGCAGUGAGGUUCAAGAUCAUGGUUUGGAAGACCAAGAGGUAUAAGGUAAUAGUGGUGGGUGCUAAUGUGACUCUCAAUGAUCAGGCUGCUAAGAACACCGGCAAGAAGGACAAGGAUGUCAAACUAAAGUCUGGGGUGGGUAAGAAUUUAGGGGGUUGUUGCUUUUGGCAGGUGGGGACUUUUGUUGUUGCUUUAGCUUUGAUUUUGCUUGACUAAGGGCUGAGUUGGACUCUCCCUUGUGUGAGGAAGGCUGAGAAUGAGAUUAAUUUUCUGGUAUUCCUGGAUAGUGGGCAGUGCUGAUUAUUGUUUGCAUUAGAAAUGAGUGCUGGUUAGCGUUUGGAUUAGAAAUGAUAUAUUUAAUGGAAGAGGGAAAAAAAUCAUUGUUUUGGGAUGGUUUUGUUGAAUGAAGAUUUGAAUGAAUCAUGGUGUUUGGUUCUUAUGAUAUGUAGUCCUUAUCCUUCAUUACAUUGAGUUCUUCGGGGUUGUUCAGAUUCCUGGUCUUUGCAAACAGAGUGAAUUUUGUUUGCCUUCUUAAAAA